AACGUAGGACACAAGCGUUAUCCGGAGUUACUGGGCGUAAAGGGCGUGUAGGCGGACGUGUAAGUCUAUUCUGAAAGCUCCUGGCUAAACUGGGAAGAGGCGAAUGGAGACUGCAUAUCUAGAGUGAGGAAGAGGAAAGUGGAAUUCCGCGUGUAGUGGUGAAAUGCGUAGAGAUGCGGAGGAACACCAGUGGCGAAAGCGACUUUCUGGUCCUUAACUGACGCUGAGGUGCGAAAGCGUGGGGAGCAAACAGG
rnacentral:rRNA from 1 species